GUCGAACGAAGUAGCAAUACUUAGUGGCAGACGGGUGAGUAACAUGUAGGUAUCUGCCCUUUGGCCUGGAAUAACACGAGGAAACUUGUGCUAAUACCGGAUAAGUCUUUACGGAGAAAGCUUUAUGCACCAUUGGAUGAGCCUGCACUUGAUUAGUCUGUUGGUGGGGUAGUGGCCUACCAAGACUGUGAUCAAUAGCUGAUUUGAGAGGAUGAUCAGCCACAUUGGGACUGAGACACGGCCCAAACUCCUACGGGAGGCAGCAGUGGGGAAUCUUGCACAAUGGAGGAAACUCUGAUGCAGCGAUGCCGCGUGAGUGAAGAAGGCCCUUGGGUUGUAAAGCUCUUUCGUCGGGGAAGAAAAUGACUGUACCCGAAUAAGAAGGUCCGGCUAACUUCGUGCCAGCAGCCGCGGUAAUACGAAGGGACCUAGCGUAGUUCGGAAUUACUGGGCUUAAAGAGUUCGUAGGUGGUUGAAAAAGUUGGUGGUGAAAUCCCAGAGCUUAACUCUGGAACUGCCAUCAAAACUUUUCAGCUAGAGUAUGAUAGAGGAAAGCAGAAUUUCUAGUGUAGAGGUGAAAUUCGUAGAUAUUAGAAAGAAUACCAAUUGCGAAGGCAGCUUUCUGGAUCAUUACUGACACUGAGGAACGAAAGCAUGGGUAGCGAAGAGGAUUAGAUACCCUCGUAGUCCAUGCCGUAAACGAUGUGUGUUAGACGUUGGAAAUUUAUUUUCAGUGU
rnacentral:rRNA from 1 species